rfam:Schistosoma mattheei strain Denwood, Zambia genome assembly, scaffold: SMTD_scaffold0007538
ACACAGUUGACGAGUCUCAAAUAGAACGAAACGUGCGUCCUGGAU